ACCACUCGCAGCCUAGAAUUUCCGGGGCUCCCACCGAUCGAAGUGGAACCAGCUGUCCCCCUUCUUUGUUAGGAUGAGACGCCGCAGCUGCCCUUUUCAGCCUGUGACCCGCUGACCCGCAUUCAAUAGUGGGCGCGCUUCCAUCAAUGAGAUUCGUCGUGACCUUGUCCCCACUUAGAUCCCGUUUCGUGGGGUCGGCCCGAGUCACCCGAUGCCCGCUACACACAUCGUCGAUAUGUGAUUUAAGGAGAAGGAGAUAAAGGGAAAGAAAAAGGAAGGGGAGAAGAGCCAUCGGGAUCGAAGGUAACCGGGAGGUAGAGGAAGUCGAUGGCUUGGCGUGGCGUGGCGUGGCGUGGCGUUGAAUGCACUUGCAACGUGACUUCUAGGAUUUUUUUCUCUUCUUUUCUUUGAAGCUUGGGAGAGAGAGGAAAAAUGGGAGGUUGCUGAUCUCAGACUUCAAUUCCAUCAACAUCUAACUCGUUCUCGUUGAAGUUGACGUCGAUGAUAGGGAACUUUUAUACUUACUUGUACAUGAGUCGAUCUUUUUUUCCCCCCUAAAACAGGUAUGAGUCCGCGAAUUCUUUCA